AACGAACGCUGGCGGCAUGCCUAACACAUGCAAGUCGAACGAGACCUUCGGGUCUAGUGGCGCACGGGUGCGUAACGCGUGGGAACCUGCCCUUAGGUUCGGAAUAACUCCCCGAAAGGGGUGCUAAUACCGGAUAAUGUCUUCGGACCAAAGAUUUAUCGCCUUUGGAUGGGCCCGCGUUGGAUUAGCUAGUUGGUAGGGUAAAAGCCUACCAAGGCGACGAUCCAUAGCUGGUCUGAGAGGAUGAUCAGCCACACUGGGACUGAGACACGGCCCAGACUCCUACGGGAGACAGCAGCGGGGAAUAUUGGACAAUGGGCGAAAGCCUGAUCCAGCAAUGCCGCGUGAGUGAUGAAGGCCUUAGGGUUGUAAAGCUCUUUUACCCGGGAUGAUAAUGACAGUACCGGGAGAAUAAGCUCCGGCUAACUCCGUG
rnacentral:rRNA from 1 species